rnacentral:rRNA from 1 species
GUGCCAGCCGCCGCGGUAAUACCGGCAGCCCGAGUGAUGGCCGAUCUUAUUGGGCCUAAAGCGUCCGUAGCUGGCUGCGCAAGUCCGUCGGGAAAUCCACCUGCCCAACAGGUGGGCGUCCGGUAGAAACUGGCCGGCUUGGAACCGGAAGGCUCAGAGAGUACGUCCGGGGUAGGAGUGAAAUCCCGUAAUCCCGGACGGACUACCGAUGGCGAAAGCACUCUGAGAAGACGGCUUCGACAGUGAGGGACGAAAGCUCGGGUCUCAAACCGGAUUAGAUACCCGUGUAGUCC